UAACCCUUACUUCUGUUAUUUUAGUUGUUGCUUUACGGUUUAUAACAAACAUCAUUACUUAUAAAACUUAACUCUCGGCUGUGUAUCGUGACUCAUGGCUGUCAUCGCACUUGGGAGGCCACGGUGGGUGGAUCACCUGAGGUCAGGAGUUCAAGACCAGCCUGACCAACAUAGAGAAACCCUGUCUCCAAUAAAAAUACAAAAUUAGCUGGGCAUGGUGGUGCAUGCCUGUAAUCCCAGCUAUUCGGGAGGCUGAGGCAGAAGAAUCACUUGAACCUGGGAGGUGGAGGUGGCAGUGAGCCGAGAUCGCACCAUUGCACUCCAGCCUGGGCAACAAGAGUGAAACUCUGU
rnacentral:lncRNA from 10 species